rnacentral:rRNA from 1 species
CCUACGGGAGGCAGCAGUGAGGAAUAUUGGUCAAUGGGCGGAAGCCUGAACCAGCAACGCCGCGUGAAGGAAGAAGGCUUUCGGGUUGUACACUUCUUUUGACAGGGAAGAGCAGAAGACGGUACCUGUCGAAUAAGCCACGGCUAACUACGUGCCAGCAGCCGCGGUAAUACGUAGGUGGCAAGCGUUGUCCGGAUUUACUGGGUGUAAAGGGCGUGUAGCCGGGCGAACAAGUCAGAUGUGAAAUCCGGGGUCUCAACCCCCGAACUGCAUUUGAAACUGUUGGUCUUGAGGAUCGGAGAGGCAGGCGGAAUUCCUAGGGUAGCGGUGAAAUGCGUAGAUAUUAGGAGGAACACCAGGGGCGAGGGGGGCCUGCUGGACGACAACGGACGGUGAGGCGCGAAAGCGUGGGGAGCAAACGGGAUGAGAUACCCUGGUAGUC